UUCACAGAUAAACAAUCUGGCCCUGGUUGCUAGGCAGCACACUUCUCGUGGGUGUGUGGGUGUGUAUCACUAUCCUCACCCCCCAUAGUCACCAUGGGACAUCUGAACAGCCCCAGCAACAGCAGAAGAAGCAGCAUCUGAGGCCAUUGAAUGGACAUGUUCCAUCAGUGUCACCAUUCCUUUUAAUAACAAUUUUCCAAAGCAGUUGCUAUUGUGUCUUAAUGUCAGCUGCCUUGGAUGCCUGAAGUCAUGCAGCAAGGGAAGGUGAUUUGGCCCUCUGCUAGUUGCCCUUUUCUGCAUCUUCUUCCUCCCAGGCUAACAAGAACAAGGGAGCUAAAUGCAAAUGAUGGGAAUAGGCAGUGCAGGUACCAUUUUUAUUGGAGUAACACCAUGCCUAAAGCAAUCCCCAUAUGGUGUCAGUGCAGAUGGAGGAGGUGGAGGAAGUGGGAUGUCCAUUACAGAUACAGAAAACCAUGAACAGCUGCUGCAUCCAAUAAGCAAGAUCUCUAAUGAAGGCUCUGUAGUAAAAGAUUUUAAUGGCUAAACCUUCCCAACAUCAAGUAGAUACCCUAUUUCAAGGGUUAUACAGUUCCAUCAAAGAACAAUGGAGGCAGCUGUUUCUGGGACUGGCAUGCUAUGGCUAGCAUGAUCCCUGUUAUACUCACAAGCCCAUAACAGAUACUCAGAGUAACAGUGCAGAGAUCAUCUAUUUUCAUGAGUCAUGGGCUUAUUUUUAAGGGUUGCCUCCUACAGUACCGGGAAGCAGCCAUAACUCUUGGGUAUCAUGCAUGUUGUCAGGGGUUUGGGGUUUUUUUUCAUGUAAGUCCACUAGAGGGCACAGUACACUCUCAGAACUCACUAGUGAUCCCUUUUGAGAUGGGAUCCCAUAAUACCAAAGUAAUGCUCACAAUAGAUGGGGAUGGGGAAUGCAUUAGAAAGGGAAUAGGAAAGGGAAACUGUUUCUUUGGAGAGGAGUAUAUUUGAACCAAAAAUACUUACCUAUUUUUGAAGCAAGAUCCAUAGUUUGUGGUGU